rnacentral:RNase_P_RNA from 2 species
AGAGUCAGUCAGGCAGUCGCUCUACACAAAAGUGUAGGGAGGAAAGUCCGGGCUCCACAGGGUAAAGUGCCAGGUAACGCCUGGGAGAUGCGAGUCUACGGAAAGUGCCACAGAAAACAAACCGCCCCGCGAGGGGUAAGGGUGAAAAGGUGCGGUAAGAGCGCACCGCGUCAUUGGUAACAAUGGCGGCACGGUAAACCCCGCUUGGAGCAAGGCCAAAUAGAAAUUCAAUAGUGCGACCCGCACUGAAUUUGGGUAGGCUGCUUGAGAAGUUUGGCGACAAACUUCCUAGAUGAAUGGUUGCCCACGACAGAACCCGGCUUAUCGACUGACUCAUUUU